rnacentral:misc_RNA from 1 species
AUAAUAAUAAAAAUAAUAAUAGUACAGUAUUUUAACAUCUUUAAAUCUGGUUACCUCAAUCUCUAUCUCCAUUUGAGUGAGUCCUUGGGAAAACAAUUUUGUUUCCACAAUGAUGUCUAACUAGAGAUGCCAACCAAAUCACCAGCUGGUGAAAAACAAAGUGUCUCCAAACGUCGAUAACACAAGCCUGCGCUUUUAUCCAAGAAACUGUUUGGUCACGGCCUAUUGGCAUGAAACAGCACUAGCUGCAGAUUCCAAAAUUCUACUAGCUUCUGUGUCCGGAUCUGGUAGCUCACUUGGGUUCUUUCCAUAUACAUUUGGUUUUGUUACAGGAGCACCAGAAGCCAACAGCAAUCUUAUGACAUUUGCAUGUUCACCUCUCGCUGCAUGGUGAAGAGGCUGCCAAAGUAAAUGAAGUCAAAUGCUUGAGCACAGUUAAUUCCACACUGUAUAGUCAUUUUCACCUCAUGCCAACCCCUUGCCCCAACUGAGGAUAGGGAAAGAAAAAGUGACAUCAUUGGCUAACCACCACAACACCACAGAUACCAGAGGGAUAAAAACAUGGGGAAAAAAAAAUUCAAUGAUAAUCAACCAAACAGGAAUCACCUAAUCUCUUUUGUUGCCUUCAUCCCUUUAACUAAUGUUCUAUAAAAAUCAAAAUAUGCAAUAUUCCCCUCCAUAUAUGGAAAACCCAAAAUAAAACAGCUUUCAACAGUACUCACAGUAUCACCCUCAGCAUCAACUGUUUCUAGCAUCCUUUUGACACACUCUGCACUAUUAGCACUGUUCAACAAAAGUUGGACUAUUUCAGCAAAACCCCCUGCACAAGCAUAAUGCAAAGGUAUUGCCCCAUCUUCAUCCUUUGCCUCCAAGUUUGCUCCCCUUUCCAGAAGUAGCUGGACACAUGGUAAAUAACCAUAGAGACAGACCAGAUGAAGAGCUGUGUCCCCAUCCUCUACAGGUUCAUCAAUGCUUCCGUUCAAGUUAUCUAGAGCUCCGCUAAGGCUGUUGACAUCGCCUACUUGAGCAGCGAAGGCAAGGUCCCGGAGGUGAGGAGGAAUAUCGGAAUCGAGAACAACGAAUCCGUCCUCUUCGAAGAGAGCAUUUUCUUCUUCGUUAUCUUCCUCGUCUAUUAGAGCAUCGCGGUGCACGGCCAUUUUCGCGUCCUGGGUUUUUCUUCCGCACAAUUCAAG